UAUGCUUAGGGCUACACACGUGCUACAAUGGGUAGUACAGAGGGUUGCCAAGCCGUAAGGUGGAGCUAAUCCCUUAAAGCUACUCUCAGUUCGGAUCGUAGGCUGAAACUCGCCUACAUGAAGCUGGCGUUACUAGUAAUCGCAGAUCAGAAUGCUGCGGUGAAUGCGUUCCCGGGUCUUGUACACACCGCCCGUCACACCACGGGAGUUGGAGACGCCCGAAG
rnacentral:rRNA from 1 species